UCACGGUAGGCGGGGGGCUGGCGGUCCCCUGUACCCGAAAUCCGCCACACGCGGGGCCGAACUCCCACCGGAGGCGGUCCAUGUCGAGACACAGACUGGGCGGAAGGCGAUGAAGGCUGGGUCCUGUGCAACGGUGCGCCGUGAACCUGGUCAGGUCCGGAAGGAAGCAGCCAUAAGCGGUAGCACCGUGUGCCGCAGGGGAGCCUGGCUGGAGCUGGAAGCUCAGUUAUGCCUCGGUUUGGGCUUGUCGAAGGUGGGUCCGUGG
rnacentral:SRP_RNA from 2 species